UGGUUUGAAAACAAAUUACCAUGUUGUUCAUGAACGUUUGUACCUAACCAGUAGCAUUAAUAGUAUGUUAGACAUGUUAGAUACAUGUAGUUGUGUAAAUAUUUUUAAAGUGAUACAUGUAAAUGUAUUAUAUCAAAUACUAUAUGUAAUUAUCAUCCUGUUGAAGGGCAACAUUAUCCCCAGAUAAUUAACUGGAAGCCAUGUUAUAGCAAAUGUUGCUUGAAGUGGUGUUACCCCCCCCCCCC
rnacentral:lncRNA from 1 species